UGCGUAGGUGGUCUACUAAGUUGGAUGUGAAACCCCCGGGCUUAACUUGGGAACUGCAUCCAAUACUGGCGGACUAGAGUGCAGGAGAGGGAAGCGGAAUUCCUAGUGUAGCGGUGAAAUGCGUAGAUAUUAGGAGGAACACCAGUGGCGAAGGCGGCUUUCUGGACUGUAACUGACACUGAGGCACGAAAGCGUGGGGAGCAAAACA
rnacentral:rRNA from 1 species